rnacentral:sRNA from 1 species
AGUUGUUUUAAUCUGGGGGAGGGCCAGACCACGGCAGCUCACAUGACCGGUAAGGUGUUCGACGAAAUGUUUAUCUCCAUGCCAUUUCAGUUUCCUUUCCUCAUCUUUUGCCCUUCGUUGAAUCGCAUCCAUCAACUGCAAAAUACUAGAUUAUAGCACCUUGCCCCAACUUCUCCUUUCUUCUUCUUCCUCCCUUUUAUUUCUCUCUCGCAGGCAAAGGUCGCACGCAGCUGCGGGAGGCCAGCACUGAUUGGGCCGCGUGCGGCGGUUGGGCGGUGGUCUCCGGUCGCGCUGAUGAAAUAUGCAGUUUGACCAAGGGCAAAAGAUGAUGGAGGCAAAGUCCCAAAGUUUUCAACUAUAUGAUUUAAUUUGUUAAAUGUUAUAUAUUAUAAAAAAACAACCAAGAUUCCAUGCCAUAUCAACAUUUGCAAACAGCUAGUAACAUUUUCUUUUUGC